rnacentral:rRNA from 1 species
GUCUCAAAGAUUAAGCCAUGCAUGUCUAAGUACAAGCCUCACUAAGGUGAAACCGCGAAUGGCUCAUUAAAUCACACCUAAUCUACUGGAUAGAAAAAAGUUACUUGGAUAACUGCGGUAAUUCUGGAGCUAAUACAUGCACAAAGCCUCAACCUUACGGGAGAGGCGCUUUUAUUAGAUCAAAACCAAACGGCUUCGGCUGUACUCUUGGUGACUCUGAAUAACUUUGGGCUGAUCGCAUAGCCUUGAGCUGGCGACAUAUCCUUCGAAGGUGUGCCCUAUCAACUGUCGACUGUGGCAUAGACGCCCACAGUGGUUUUGACGGGUAACGGGGAAUCAGGGUUCGAUUCCGGAGAGGGAGCCUUAAAAACGGCUACCACAUCUAAGGAAGGCAGCAGGCACGCAAAUUACCCAAUGACCGAAGGUCGAGGUAGUGACGAAAAAUAACGAUAGAGGACUCAUCCGAGGCCCUCUAAUUGGAAUGAUUACACUUUAAAACCGUCUCAGAGGAUCUAUUGGAGGGCAAGUCUGGUG